CAUGCACGUCUAAGUACUCGCCUUGGUCUAUUUAAAGUGAAACCGCGAAUGGCUCAUUAAAUCAGUUAUGGUUCACUGGACCGUACCACAUCCUACUCGGAUAACUGUGGUAAUUCUAGAGCUAAUACAUGCAACUAGGCCCUGCCCGGCCGCUCCGUCCGUCAAAACGACGGUCGGUCGGAAAGGGCGCCAUUAUCAGCUCAAAACCGACCGGGUCGCCCGCCGUCCUCUGGACGGGCAGGGCUCCCGUUCUCGUUGACCCUUUGACGACUCUGGAUAACCUCCUAGCGGAUCGCCGGUCAAACUUAGGUCGGCCGGGUGUUUCGGCAUCCGCGCCCGACCUAACGGCGACUGGUCUUUCGAAUGUCUGCCUUAUCAACUGUCGACGGUAGGUUAGACGCCUACCGUGGUCGUAACGGGUGACGGGGAAUCAGGGUUCGAUUCCGGAGAGGGAGCCUGAGAAACGGCUACCACAUCCAAGGAAGGCAGCAGGCACGCAAAUUACCCAAUCCCCGAACGGGGAGGUAGUGACGAAAAAUAACGAUACGGGACUCUUAACGAGGCCUCGUAAUCGGAAUGAGUCCGCUCUAAAUCCUUUUAACGAGGAUCUAUCGGAGGGCAAGUCUGGUGCCAGCAGCCGCGGUAAUUCCAGCUCCGAUAGCGUAUAUUAAAGUUGCUGCGGUUAAAAAGCUCGUAGUUGGAUUUGGGUUUUCGGGCCGGCGGGCCGCCGCCUUCGAGNGGCGCGUCUCCCGCCGCGCCCCCGGAACCGCACGGUCGCAGAGGCCCCCGCGGUGCUCUUGAGUGAGUGUCCGCCGGUUCGGGUCGCCGAACGUUUACUUUGAAAAAAUUAGAGUGCUCCAGGCAGGCCGGUAAAGCGUUGUUUAAAAAAGACCCGCGCCUGAAUAGUCACGCAUGGAAUAAUGAAAGAGGACCGGUGGUCCUAUUUUGUUGGUUUUCGGGAUUUUCCGCCGUCAUGAUUAAGAGGGACGGCCGGGGGCAUUCGUACCGCGGCGCGAGAGGUGAAAUUCUAGGACCGCCGCGAGACGAACCGUUGCGAAAGCAUUUGCCAAGAAUGUU
rnacentral:rRNA from 1 species